rnacentral:misc_RNA from 1 species
AACGCACCUUGCGCUCUUUGGUAUUCCAAGGAGCAUGCCUGUUUGAGUGUCAUGAAAAACUCAACCUGUUUUGGCUUUUUCUUUAAAAAGCUUUCAAAGCAGGCUUGGAUAUUGGGAGUUUAUGCUGGCUAUCUGAUGAUGUUGGCUCUCCUUGAAUGCAUUAGCAGGAUCGUUGUUGGUCAUUAAUUCUGGUAUGAUAAAAAUAUCUAUGCCAAUUUGAGACCGGGGUUGAUCUUGCUUUCUAAAAUUUCAAUUGUUUAAACAAUUGUUGAUAAUUUUGACCUCAAAUCAGGUAGGACUACCCGCUGAACUUAA